GCCUGGGUGGCUGAGUCGGUUAAGCAUCCGACUUCGGCUCAGGUCAUGAUCUCACUGUUCGUGAGUUUGAGUCCCGCAUCAGGCU
rnacentral:tRNA from 1 species